GGGGAUUUAGCUCAGUGGUAGAGCACUUGCCUAGCAAGCGCAAGGCCCUGGGUUCCCUCCCCAGCUCCA
rnacentral:tRNA from 1 species